GAUGGAACCCGCAGCCUUGUUAUGUGCCCUGACCGGGAAUGGAACCCGUGACCCUUCGGUGCAGGGGACACGCUCUAACUCACCGAGACACGGGCCAGGGCUCUGGGAGCCACUUUACAGAUGAGGAAACUGAGGCUCAAGGAGGCUACGCGAGAAAAGCCCAAGGUCACACAAUUGAGAAGAGGUGAGGCCUGGAUGGAGCCCUGGUCGCCUGACUCCAGAACCCACGUUCUGAAAUCCUCUGCACUUUCUACUGCGGGCGCAGCCUGAUGAGGAAACUGAAGCUCAGAGAAGGACUUGACUUGUCUAAGGUCUAAAAUCACACAGCAAGGAACUGGCGGAGCCGGGAUCAGAACCCAGGCAUCCUUGACUCCAGAGUUGUUUAACCAGAACCACACACCUGACCCCGCCAGCUGCCCACAGGUAGGGAAGGGAAGAGGGAGAGCAUUCCACCCACCCAGCCUGAGCCAGCUUAGAGCCAGCCCCAUGCACCCCCAGGAUCCCUUGUGGUGUGAGAGGGAAUAGCAACUGCGAGAGGAGUUACCCAGGGAUCUGAGGGCCCCCACCACGUCCUUGGUGAAAGGAAGCCCAGACCUACAGAACACCCAUAGGAGGCACUCACUUGUGAGUGGGUCCAGCCUGUGCCGGCUGGUGGGAGUCAUGGCUGGUCAUCCCACCUCAUUUUUAUGUGGGCCCAGUCCUACCACCUCAGUUUUCCCCGCUUUCCCCUCCCACACCUGGUCUCCAGUCUGCUCUGGAUCCCUCCUGCUGGACCUCUCCCACCCAUCCUACCUUCUCAGCAGACGAACCCGUGCAGCCUAGCGCUGUGCUGUCCAAUACAGUGGCCACUGACCACAUGUGACUGUUGAGCACUUGAAAUGUAAUGAAUGCAGCGGAGGAACUAAAUUUUAAAUCUUAUUUAACUUUAAUCAAUUUACAUUUAAGUUUUAAAAUUGACAAUGUUGUUAUUGGAAAACAUUUAAAUAUGUGUGGAACAACUUGGGUAUGUAAAUCAUUUUUUCAACUGCAAAUUUUAUGAAAUCUAAAUACAGGUAAUUCUCUAAUGAAAACUUAGCAACUGCUGUAAGUGUAAAAACUAGGCAGGCACCAGAUUUUGAACACUUAGUAAAAUA